GAUGAACGCUGGCGGCGUGCCUAAUACAUGCAAGUCGAGCGAACAGACGAGGAGCUUGCUCCUUCGACGUUAGCGGCGGACGGGUGAGUAACACGUAGGUAACCUACCUAUAAGACUGGGAUAACUUCGGGAAACCGGAGCUAAUACCGGAUAAUAUUUCGAACCGCAUGGUUCGAUAGUGAAAGAUGGCUUUGCUAUCACUUAUAGAUGGACCUGCGCCGUAUUAGCUAGUUGGUAAGGUAACGGCUUACCAAGGCAACGAUACGUAGCCGACCUGAGAGGGUGAUUCGCCCAACUGGAACUGAGACACGGUCCAGAAUCCUACGGGAGGCAGCAGUAGGGAAUCUUCCGCAAUGGGCGAAAGCCUGACGGAGCAACGCCGCGUGAGUGAUGAAGGUCUUCGGAUCGUAAAACUCUGUUAUUAGGGAAGAACAAACGUGUAAGUAACUGUGCACGUCUUGACGGUACCUAAUCAGAAAGCCACGGCUAACUACGUG
rnacentral:rRNA from 1 species